AGCCACUCAGUAGCAUCGGACUUUUAAUCCGUGGGUCGAGGGUUCGAGCCCCUCAGGGCCCACCA
rnacentral:tRNA from 1 species